UUCUAAGUUGCUUUGAGAGAUUGGUGGGUCCUAAGCAUGUGGUUCAUUUGCUCCUCACUUCUGCUUUCCUCAGGAAAUAAGUUCAGCAGCUAAUCUGGUGAUUCACACUGGAAAGCUUAAAGAGCAAAGAGGGAGCUGCUGCAUACACCAAGAUGUCUAGUAGGACAGAAGCAGUAGCGCUUAUUUCUCUGGAUGUGGUUAUUGACUGCAACAGGAACUGCUGAAUCUAAGAGCCCAGCAGUCCUGGCUGACUGGGGAAGUUCCACUUGACUGGAAGCUGGUUAAUGUUACACCCAUCUUCAAGAAGGGUCGGAGGGGAGGACCCAGGAAACUACAGGCCUGUCAGUCUGACCUCAGUGCCAGUCAUGGAACUGUCAUGGAACAGGUCUCAUUUCAGCAUGGACAAAGCAGCUGAACUCAUGUGGCAGCUGGAGGAUUCGCCAGACAAAGAAGAACAGCAAGAACAAAGCCCUGAUGAUGGAGACAAAGCAGAAGUGCUGACACAAACUGCUGACAGCAAGGACAAGUUACUCCAGAGCCAGACACUCCAGUGGGAGACUCUAGGCAGACAGUUUGUAGAAUACGAGCAGGUGGCUCCAUUUCUUGUUCCAGAGGAGCAACAGAGAAGGCUGCUGGACUUUCUUCCCCUUUUCUUGGAGGCCUGGGAAAAAUCUGCUGGAGUUAUUGUAUUCCCCAACAUUCCACUGUUAGCCAGUGAGGUUUCCAAGCUUCUGACAAAAGAAAUUAAGAGGAAUCUCAAUGGCAAACCUGCAGAGGAAGCUCGUCUGGCUUUGGAGCAAUUGCUGCAACAGAAAGGGGAAGCAGGAGAUGGGCGUUUGCUCUUGAAAUCAGUGUAUCUGCUGUCACAAACUGACUUGAGAACUGUGUGGAACAUCAUUGAAUCUGGUCUUCCAGCUGCUCUGUUGCAGUGCCUGUACCUUUUCUUUACUUUUCCCCUGAAGAAGACUCAUGAUGGCAGAGAAACAAUUGAGGAUGACACUCAAACUCAAGAGAUGCUUGUUAAGAUAAUGCUUAACAUGUACAGAGAACAACAAGGUGUAGAGGAACUUCUGGCAGCUGAUAAGCUUCAGUCAUUAAUUAUAGCAACUGCUUCCCUCUGGGACCAGUGUAGCCACUCAUGGAAAGUACCUACAGGCUGUGUGCUGCGAACAAUUGCAAAGGCUCAGACCAAAAACAGCAUUAUGUACCUACAAGCUGUGGACUGCAUUAAAAUAGCUGUUCAGAACCUCUUUAAACUGGCUGAUACCCUACCUGCUUGUGACAUGUGUGAAGCUGCUAGUAUCAUCUUGUGCUUUGUGAAAGAUUCCUAUCCGAUAUCAUCGGCUUUAUUGACAGAGUUUGAAAAUAAUGAUGGCUACCAACUCCUGCUAAAAAUUUUACUCAGGUGUGAGCGGUUGCAGCAAACUGAAGGAGACCCCUAUCUGCAUGAGAUCUUGGACAUGCUGACUUGCCUUACAACCUGUGGAAAAACUGAACUGAAAGUUUCUGGCAAUAUUGUUCACCCACAAUUACCACACUUUACUUUUGAACGGAUACGAUCUUCUGGAAUGACAGUGAAAAACCUCCAGGCUUUCCAGGUGUUACAGUCCAUUUUCCAGAAAAGUAAUGAUCAGCACCUGUGUGGAAGAAUCUUGGUAGCAAUUGGUACCAUUUGGGCCUGGGACACCAUGAACUUCUUUCUUCUGGAAUGGACACUACAACCUAUCAACCAGUUUACUGACAUAAUCCAUUUCAAACCACAUCCAGUCCAAGUCCAGUUCUUCAGACUGGUGGAGUCCAUAGUGCUAGAUCUGUCCUACAUCCCCCAUGAAAUUUUGAAGAAGAUUCAGUAUUUGAUAAAGGAAAAUAUAGUGCCAUUCUGCACCUUAGCAGCUCUACAAUGCCUUCUCAGCAUCACCAAGAAGGACCUAUUAUUCAGUGACAUAUUCCGUGACUCUGGGCUCUUAGGCUUACUUCUGGCACUUUUGAGGAAGCAAGCCAAGAUCCUGAGGAAGUCAGCUGGAACACACCUGUCCGGUCUUGAAGAAGGAACUGAGAAGGAAUUAAAUGCGGUGAUGCUGAAUAUGGUGUCUGCCCUUACAGUGGGGUCUGUGAGGAACAUUGUUAUUCUGAAGGACUAUGGAAUGGUGCCAUAUAUCAAGAUAUUUUUGGAUGAUGAGUGCUACAGGAAUGCUACUCUCAGCAUCUUGGAGCAGCUAUCGGUCAUCAACUAUGAAGAAUAUAUGAGCAUUAUUAUUGGGGCGCUCUGUUCGUCUACUCAAGGGGAACUACAUCUGAAACUAGAUCUACUGAAGUCUCUCCUGAGGAUACUAGAGAGUCCGAAGAGCCAUUCGGCUUUCAGAACCUGCAGUGGAUUCAAUGGACUCCUGUCCCUUCUCUCAGACAUGGAAGGUGCAUUGCAGGAUCCUCCAUCUGGGCUGUGGGCAGCAGUUGGACAGAAUUGCAUAUUAGAACUUGUUUUCUACACGCUUCAGGGGAUAACAGCUGCCCUGCACCUAGACCCUGUCAACAGCUACUUCUUCCAGACUAAUGGUCUCUUUGAAAAGAUGGCAGAAGAUCUUGGGUCACUAGGAUGCUUCUGGACACAAGGGGAAUGGCAAAUCCCUGUAAGAAUUGAGAAGACAAGGACAUUUGCAGAAUUCUUAGAUGCAGCUUUCUGCUCUUCUGAACCUUUCCCAAAGUGGCUAAAGAACUGCAUAUGGAUUCUGAAUUUUCUUGAUCACAUGGUCAAAGGAACCCUUCAUCUGGAGAGCUACAUCAAGGAGAGAAAGCCAGAGAUAGGAGAGGCAUCAAGAGAUGACCAGGAGGGACUCCAAGCUUUUGCUUUCAAAAAAACAGGCAACAAGUUCCCUGCCUCUUCCCACAGGCUAUGGGGAAACCCUGAAGAGAAGUGGGAAAUGGAAGACUGUGCCAUUGUACAUCCAGGUGCUAUCUGUGUUAUGGUGAGGUUGCUGCCAAAGCUGUACAAUGAGGGACACACUGAGCUUUCACAUGAAAUCCAGUGUGCCUUGGUUGAUCAUAUCCAGUCCCUGGUGAAGUCGGAGAAGAGUCGCCAAGUGAUGUGUGGAUCUGGCUUGCUGAGCACCAUCAUAACUUCCUGUCACGAUGCUUUCCGCAAUGACAGUCAUCCACUGCAUCUGCCCCUUACUAGACUGUUUGAGAAGCUUGCAUCACAGGCUAUUGAGCCAAAUGUGUUGAGGCAAUUUCUUUGUCUAGGAGGUUCACCACCACAACCUUCCAGGCCCAGCUCAAGCAAGACUAAGGCUCUUUCAUAUCAGGAGAGUGUUUCAACUAAUGUGGCUUGGACAGAAGGCUCAGAAGAGGGCAUGGCGGACAAUAAAACUGAUCCUCAGACAGUUGCGCCUGUUAGCAGAUCUCCUUGGAUGUCUAAGGGAUCUGCAUUGGCACUCCAGACUGCAAUGAGUCUCGUCUCCAUGACAUCACCUCGAAACUUCCAGCUCCGUGGCACUGCUUUGGCUCCAUCAUUUGUGGAGUUUGACAUGUCCAUGGAAGGAUACGGGUGCUUAUACCUCCCUACCUUGGCCACUGUCAUGGGACCCAGUGCAGAGCAAUCUGUCUCAGGAGGAGUUGGCACGGGCGCCAGAAUGUUCCCUCCCUCAAGUGGCCUGACAGUGUCCUGCUGGUUUCUGGUUAGCAAGUUUGGUUUGAUACACAACAGUCACCCACUCCGUUUCCUCACAGUCGUGAGGCACAUGUCAAGAACAGAGCAAGAAUUUGUUUGCUUUUCAGUAAGCUUCUUACCGCAGGACCGUUCUUUGGUCAUUUCCACAGAAGAAGUGGAAUUCCAGCCGCUCGAUAUCAUGGAACCUGAGGGUGAAGUCCCAAAUCCCUCCCCUUUUCCAGGGCAAGUACAGUUUGGUUGUGGCAAGCUACUGAUCACUGGCCAGUGGCAUCAUCUCACAGUGACACUUGCUAAGGAAGCAAAGAAGAAUUGCAUUGCAUCAGCUUAUAUAAAUGGUCAGACGCUUGGCUCUGCAAAGAUGCAGUAUCUCCAGCCUUUACCAGGCAGCUGUAUUUCCAUGGAACCCUCUUCCUUUAUAGACGUGUAUGGGUACAUAGCUACUCCUCGAAUUUGGAAACAGAAGUCCUCCUUAACCUGGCGCCUUGGCCCUACAUACUUGUUUGAAGAAGCCAUCUCUGUGGAAACCAUAGAGGUGAUUAGUAAGCUUGGCCCACAGUAUUGUAGCAAUUUCCAAGCAGUACAGCUUCAAGGUGAGGACAAAUGUGAUGAUCAUAAUCCUACACCUCUGAUCGCAGAAGAGAAGAUUUCUUUUGGAAUCAAUGCCACGUGCUCAUCUCUCACUACAGUUCAAAAUAUAAAGAGCUCCUACAAUGAAGUGGAUGGCCGGCUGAUUGCCAAAGAGAUUGGGAUUAACUCUCGAGACAGUUCAACUCCAAUAUUCCUAGCUAAGAAUAUUGCUGGACAUCUCUCAGGCUCCUUGCGGUCUAUUGGGUCAGUGGCUGUGGGACAACAUGGGGUAAGAGUGUUCCAGUCCUCUGCAGCAGCUACUAGCCUGAACUUCAUUGGAGGCCCUGCCAUUCUUCUGGGUCUCAUUGCUAUGGCUUGUGAUGACCACACCUUGUACGCAACUGUCAAAGUCCUGAAUUCCGUCCUGAACAGUAGCCCAAUGAGUGAAAAAUUGAUGAGACACAUACAUGGAUACCAGUUGCUGACCUAUCUGUUGAAGAGGAAGACACAGCUUUUAAACAACAGGAUUUUACAGUUAAUGCUGUCCUUAGUGGGCACAGCUGAGCUUGGAUUUGAGUCUUCAGUCAUCAAGAAUUAUAGUGCAUUCCAGUAUGUUCUCUGCAACUUUGAGCUUUGGAUGAAAGCACCAGAGAAUCUUGACCUUGCUCUUUUUUCACAUCUUGUGGAAAUCUUGCAGUCUUCCAGAGAUGGAUGUCAGAAUGCUGCAGUCGCCUACCAGGUGCAAAUGGUGCCCAAAUUAAUGUUCCUCUUCAAUGAUUCUGAAAUCAGUAACUCCAGGAUCACUGUGGUCUGCACUAUUCUCUCUCAUCUGUUGCAAGGAUACUUUAACACAAGGGAUGUUCUCAGGAUUGGGUUGUUCCUUGUUUACACUUUGAAACCUUCUUCUGUGGAUGAAAAUCAGAUUUGCGUGGAUGAUGUGGCUGAGAUGCCCCACGAAGCCUUAAGCCAAACAUCUGGAAAGACAAUCUGGCUUCGAAACCAGUUACUGAAGACGUUGUUAGAUGUAAUGUACUCAGACAAACUUCAUUUGUCCUCUGAGGAACAAGAGGAGGUAUUUUUUGCACUUGGGCCAGACUGGUUUCUGCUGUUCACACAGAGCCACCUACACUCUAGUACGGUUGUUCUAGGAAUCAAGCUACUUCUGUGCUUCCUUCACAAUCGUUUGCUGCUGAACAAAUUCAAGGAGGGCGUAGUGGCUGGACGCUGGCUGGAAAACAGCUCUGCAGGGCUGAGUAUUCUAAUGGAUAAUUUGAAAACUCAGCCCCCAGUGCCUGACAAUGGCUCCUUCUUGAUUUUCGGUUUUUCGGUGUUGCAAAGAUGUCUGACUGAUCAUGUCCACAUCCCUGAGAUCUACUUGCUUGUGGCAGGGCUCUUUCUGGCAACUCCACAGUCUGAACCACCUGAAGCAGCCAAGAAAGAUCUUGAGUCGAUGUUGCAGCAGAUCUUGCAGGACCAUCACAUAGAGAAUGUCCUCAAAAUUGGAUUGUGUGCAGAGGCAGCUACUUUACUACUGGAAAUGGUUAGAAUCACUGUGGACAAGCCUGUUGCAGAUGCAGAAACCUCCUGGGAGAUUACCUAUCCAGGGAACGUUAUCCAGUUUCUGUGCUUGAUCUAUCACAGUUAUACUCAGGACCCCAUGUGGCACGGUCCUGAUUUCUUGAAAACUUUGGCUAUGGUUGCUUUCCAUUCUGAACCACCCAAGGGAGGCUCUGAAGGCCUUUUGUCUCCUGAUGGUCCAGCCAUUACUGAAGGGAAAGGCUGUGCUGAUAUCUCCUCUCUCCCGCUCCUACCACACCCUGCCAAGAAACAAGUGUGGGAUUUUGUGCGCAUCCUCCUGAUGGACAGUCUUCUCAAUAUCCCAGCAAACAAACAAGGACAUCCACUUGAGAUCCUUCUUGAGUCUUCUCCAGAGGAAGCCACCAGUGAGCAAAAGAGACAUUUCCAGACCAAAGUUUUGCUCUCUGCUAUGGACAUCUUCCGUGUUACCAGCCAAGGAGAGAGGAAAACAAGAUCAAGAGGAAGCAGUGAUCCUCAUGGCACUCCAGAAUCAAUUGCACCCAUAACCAUGAUGAAUAUUACUUAUUUUGCCCAGAAGCUGGUUGAGAAGCUGAACAGCAGGAUGUUUACUGCUGACCCUAAGGAAAUCCUGAUCUUCACUACCAAACAGAUUAUAGUGGUCUUAGAGAGCUCUGUCUCUCAGAAGGAAAUUUUCCUCAGUGCCCUCUACAGCUGUCUAAAUAGAGCCAUCCUAUACUGCCUAUCCAGACCACAACAGUCGCUGCCCGAACAAUUGAAUGUCCUGAACACUCUCAAUGUCCUGCAGGAGCAAUGGGACAUUAUUUUUGCAACUUAUAACUCAAAUAAUAAUUUUAUCAUCUGCCUAAUGUAUUGUCUUUGCCAACUAAAUUCGGGCAGCUAUCCAGAAGGCUUUGGGGUGGAUGCAAAGCCAAAGCUGGCUUCAUAUCACCAGAUCUUCUUUGCACCCAGUGAAGAGGAAAAGGGCAACCUGCCUACUCCAGAUGAUGUCCAUCAGGAGAUUCUGAGAACUAUAGAAAUCAUCUGGAAGCAGCUCAUUUCUCAGAGGCGGCAGGCUCUGGAGGACACUUACAAGAUGGAUCUUUCUGUAAAAGGAAAUGACAAAGAAAGGGACAUGAAGAUAACAGAGAUCACUCCUUUAUGGGAAGAAAUUAUGACAAAAGCUUGGCAACACUUGAUAGCAUCUGAAAAGAAGCUUCUGCAGAAUAAAGCAGGGCCAGGCGUGUCACAGAGCAAGCACAGUUCCUGGAGUGAAAGCUUCUCUUCAGCUAUUAGGUUGAUGCCUGGCCGAAAUACAAAGGAAAUGAUAUGCAAAUCUGAGGGAUUUAUAUCAUGCAUGGAAAGGUACCGAAGAACUGGACAGGAGCUGUAUGCCACUUUGUACAAGAACCACAUACAGAUGCUGCAGUGUGGUUACAGCAAAGCAGCCAAAGACUGGAUGAUACUUGAGGAGCAACUUUUCUACAGAAGGGGCCCAUGGGGAGAUGGAUCCCAAUCAUUAGAACCACGAUGGAUUCUUGAUUGUUGUGAAGGGCCUUCACGAAUGAGGAGGAGGAUUCAGCACACGAAAACCCAAGCAACAAUGGUGCGAAUAAAGAGCGAGAUUCUCCUAGCAAACAGAAAUGAAACAACCACCUCUGUUGAAGAGAUUCCAGGGGAGCUGAUAUUAAAUGGAGCAGAAAGGGAGAUGGAUAAGAAGGGAUCGGAUUGUAACCAGCUAACAUUCUUCCCUGCUCUACAUGAAAGUUUCCAUUCAGAAGACUUCUUGGAACUAUGCGUGGAGAGACAAAUUAUAUUGCAGGAAUUUGUAGAGAAUGAAAAGGUCACAUUCAGGUGCUCUGUGGCUGUUGUGCAGGGGCAUACAGCAUUGGAGGGAGUGCUGCUCUUUGGCAGAGAGCACUUUUACAUCUGUGAGUGCUUUGUGUUAUCCCCUCUAGAAGAUAUCUACUGUACACGUCACUGCCUGUCCAGCAUCAGUGAUCCAUUUCUUUUCAACUUAUGUCAUAAAGAUCAUGCUGUGGGAGAUCAGAUGUGUUCCCGUUAUUCAUAUCAUGAUAUAAAAGAGAUUCAUCUGAUGCGCUUCCUUCUGCAGGAGAUCGCCUUGGAAAUAUUCUUCAAAAGUGGUUACUCCAGAUUUCUUGUCUUCCAUAACAGUGACCGAAAUAAGAUAUUUAAGAGAUUUUGCUCUUCCCAACCUGCUUUGAAGUCAAAGGGCAUUACAGAAGAGUCCCUGAACAUAAGGAAACUCUCAGGAGGGGACAAGACAAUGCUCCAGAAGUGGCAGAAGAGGGAGAUCAGCAACUUCGAUUACCUCAUGUACCUGAACACGCUGGCUGGCCGCAGCUACAACGAUUACAUGCAGUACCCUGUGUUUCCAUGGGUCCUUGCUGACUAUCAAUCCAAGAUUCUAAAUCUUACUAAUCCUCACACAUUUCGGGACCUGUCAAAGCCCAUGGGAGCGCAAACUGUGGAGAGGAAAUGCAAGUUCAUCCAGCGCUACAAUGAGGUGGAGAAGAGUGAGGGAGACCUUUCAGCCCAGUGCCAUUACUGCACUCACUAUUCAUCAGCAAUUAUAGUGGCUUCUUACCUGGUUCGACUGGAGCCAUUCACCCAGACCUUCUGUUCUUUGCAGGGCGGGAGUUUUGAUGUUGCAGACAGGAUGUUUCACAGUGUCAAGAGCACAUGGGAAUCUGCAUCAAGAGACAACAUGAGUGACGUCAGGGAACUCAUCCCUGAAUUCUUCUACUUGCCUGAGUUCCUAACCAAUGCAAAUCACUUUGAACUUGGCUGUAUGCAGGAUGGAACAGUGCUGGGAGAUGUGCAGCUUCCUCCCUGGGCAGAUGGAGACCCCCAUAAAUUUAUCCUCCUGCACAGACAGGCACUGGAGAGUGACUACGUCAGUGCACACCUCCAUCACUGGAUAGAUCUGAUUUUUGGUCACAAGCAACAUGGCUCAGCUGCAGUGGAGGCAGUUAACACCUAUCACCCUUACUUCUAUGGAGACAAGAUGGACCUCAACAACAUUAAAGAUCCCCUGAUUAAGAGCACCAUCUUAGGUUUUAUCAGCAACUUUGGACAGAUACCAAAGCAGCUCUUCACAAAACCGCAUCCAUCCAGGAAUGCCCAAGGGAAAAGUCCAUCAGGCAGAGAGACUGUGCUGUCCCUUCACUCAAGUGGAAUUCUUCCUCCGUUUAUAAGCAGCUUGCAAAACCUGAAGCUCUCACCAAUUACAAUAAAAGACUAUCCCAAGGGAGCUAUUGGACACAUUGUUCAUACUGAGAAAGGCAUUCUGGCUGUUGAAAAAAACAAGGUUUUGAUUCCUCCUCUUUGGAACAAAACAUUCUGCUGGGGAUUUGAGGACUUCACCUGUUGCUUUGGCAGCUAUGGGUCUGAGAAGAAUGUGACUACAUUUGAGUGCAUGGCAGACUGGGGAAAGUGCCUCUGCGCUGUGUGUCCUUCAGCAACUACCAUAAUCACAUCUGGAACAAGUUCUGUUGUGUGUGUCUGGGAACUUUCCUUAGUAAAGGACAAAGUGAAGUGCCUAAACUUGAGACAGGCUUUAUACGGGCACGCUCAGGCAGUGACCUGCCUUGCUGCAUCUGUGACCUACAGCAUCUUUGUGAGUGGAUCCGAUGACAGAACCUGCAUCAUUUGGGACCUGAACCAGCUGACGUACAUAAACCAGCUUCCUGCCCACAGGGCAAGCCUCUGUUCUGUUGCCAUAAACAAUUCAACAGGUGAUAUUAUUUCUUGUGCUGGAUCUUACCUAUAUCUGUGGACAGUCAAUGGUCAGCUUCUUGCAAGCGUUAACACCACCUGCAGCCCAAAAAGCCAUAUUGUUUGCUGCUGCUUUGCUGAAGUGAUGGACUGGGACACACGCAGCAUCAUCAUCACAGGAAGCACAGAUGGAGUCGUGAGGCUGUGGAAGACUGAGUACACCAACACCCCAGACCAAACUCCUGGGCUGAGAAUGCAGAGAGAUACAGUGGAAGAGCCAGGGAACAUAGGUAACAAGUGUGGAAAACAUCUUGUUCUCUUUCGGGAGCUGAAUCCCAGCCUUGCCUUGACUGGAAAACCAAGUAAGACCAGUCCAGCAGUUACAGCAGUGGCUGUAUCCAGAAAUUCCUCUAAAAUCCUAGUUGGUGAUGACUGGGGAAGAGUCUGCUGCUGGUCUGUGGAUGGAUAGGAAGAAAUAGUGAAGAAGUCUUGCUUUUUCAGCCUUUGAGAUGGAGUGAAAUUACCCUUCAGAGCAUGAAGGAGUCAGAGAACUGGACGCCUAUGCUUGCGGACUGCAUCACAAAGGAGUUGUUGGACUGACUCUGAUUGAAAUUAGAUAAUGAACUUCAAAGCUGAGAGAGACACACUGACAGACAUGCACAUAGACAAUGAGAUUUUGCAGGUUUUGUGCUGAGAAAAUUUUUGUAUUUAAAAUGUUAUUUUAGAUACUGAUUUGGGCAUAAUAUGUUGUAUUUCACAAAUAAUAGCUCUUAAAUAAAACUACCUUGACUAUGCCAAAGAGCAACGUAGCUUAAUAAAAUCAACAUAUUCUGAUUUUAACCCUAUGGGAUCAGAAAAUGCUAAGGCUCCUGACAGAUGUCGUGGGAGUUUGUUGCAGUAUCUUUGUUCUUAUUAACAUACAAGUAUGUUAACAUCUCCAUUUCUACUCAUCCUCUUUCCAUGAUUCUGCAUGAAAAUGUAUGCAUGCCUUCGGAGAAGCUAUUUGGUUUGCAAAGCAAAGGUAGGAAUUUCUAGGCUGACAGUGAGGAAUUAUUUGGCCUCAUUGUGAACAAGUGUUACAGUACAACCUUGUGUUUUCUAAUCUGACUUGUUUUUUUUCUAUAGUGAGUAGAGCAUGCAAAAUGCAUGGGGCACAGAUGAAGAUUUGACAGAGCUGGUUGAUGUUCUUUCAUUCUCCUCCCUCAAUGCCUUCUUUCCCAGCCUUGUCCUGAUGUUCUCAGGAGUAUCAGUAUACGAGACAUACUUCAGCAUUACCUUCAUAAUCAUUCUGCACAGUAGAAGAUUCUGCUGUCAUCUGAAGUCAGUUACAAAUGGAAAAUGUUUUAAAAUAAUGGAAUUUUGUGCAGAAUGAGAAAUUCAAUUCCCAUCUAUUGAGAAGUACCAAAUAAACACAUCCUUGAAUCGUUCUCUAGCAAGCAAUAAAUCCUACACAGACUGAGAGAACUUCUCUCACCAAAAAAAAAGAGCUGAUCCUGAAAUACUUUGUGCAGCUGCUGCUGCUGCAAGUGGUGUCAUCAAAGUCAGUUGUUCCGUACAUGUAAGUAAAGGCCAUUUGCAGGGCUGACUGCAGGACUGUAAUCUUUGCACUUGAUGAUUCACAAUUGAAAUACUCCACUGUUGACUACACAGCAAAUUUUCUGCUUUCAUUGAAUUCUCUGGUGUAAUGAUUUAAAAGGACUUGCUGUGGUCUCAGCCUGAUUUUGUAUGUAACAGAUCUAAAAAUCACACAUUUCUUUUCUGUAUUCAUGUGCUAGGACUGAACUAAACCACAAUGCUUAGAAAGACAUCUGUCCUGGCCUUGGCUUAAGAGCUAAAAAACCUCUUGGUCAACUGCUCUGAUAAUUAUUUAAUUUUUAUGUUACCCUUCUUUCUAGCCUGACAGUAUUAGCCUCAGUUCGUAGGCAUUUAAGUUGAUUUUGCUUUUUAUGAUAUAUUAAAGAUUCCCUUUGAGAUUUCAAUAGUAUAUGUGCCCAUUGCUUCAGUAGGUAGAACAGAUACUAAAUAUGGGAGCUAUGUUGAGGCUGGACAUCACAAUAACACCAGCAAAUGUUGAAGAUUUUAUUCUUAGCGUAUGAUAGCAUAUCUAAUCUCUAUUUGAAGGUAUUGGAAGCUUUGCUGCCAGCUUCAGUGGGUGUCACCUCAAACCCUCAACCCAGAAUAAUACACUGCAUGCGAAAAGCCUCCUAAAAAUGAAUCUGAUGAAACUUUUCAAACACGCCAGUCGCUGCCAGAGUAAAACUCUACAUUUCCGAAGACUGACCCAGUGCAUCUUUUGAAGUAGAGCUAUUUCCACUGUUCUGCAGAAAUCAGUUGCUCGGGGCACACUAAAUCUGUAUAUGCUUUCCACUUCGCUGUUUAAUUGCAUUUCAUGUUAUGUUUCCAUUUAGGAAAUGCUGCAUGUCCUAAAAUAGCCACCCCAACGCCCGGCUCAUGUAAAUUUUAGAACUAAGAUUUAUGAAAUCAUAUUGUCCAGGUGUUUUAUUAUAUUAUCUCAAAAUUGCAUUGUUUUUCAGUGUAGAUUAUCUCUUUAUUCUUACUUUAUUCUAUUAUGUUUGGAUAUGAAAAAUAACACCAGAUUCCCCAAAACAGGUCAUUGGGCAGUAGUGGCUGAUGUGUUGCUUUCAUACAUUUUUAUGAUGUUCCUAUAGUAAACAUAAUUUAAUAAAGCCAAAACACACUAAAUAAAUAAUUGCAUCUAGAAAAGCAAUAAAACCAAAUAAAAUUAGUACAUUCAUAAGUGGAAAAGGUACUUCAAUUACUGCUACAAGCAACAGCACACCAUAAAAUGUGUAGAAUAAUUUCCCUUAUGCAUAUUUCUAGUAUGUAAUAAUUUGAUUGAAAAUAUGAGGAAACACACAGGAGGUUCAAAAUUGUGAAGGGUAUACAGUUUUCAGCAAAGGAUGCGUAAUAACAGCGCAUGGAAGCCAACACUACUUUAAAGUACCUAUGGUAGCCAGCGUUUUAUUCCAUACGCUCUUCUGUACUUCAUUUAUCAACCACACGUGUAAUUUAAUUUUGCUGGUUUGUUUAUCCAAAACCAAUUUUUUUUCAAACAGGCAGGGAAAGAAAACUCAUUCUACAAUUUCAUCUCUUGUUUGGAUUGGAUAGCAUUUUGGCAAUGUAAACCUGGAGUCCUGCCACCACCUCCUUUUUGGAACAAUAGUGUGACUUGAGUCACUGAUGUUAUAGGUGAGACUGAUACUGGAGCAGAAGAGUAGGAGACAAGGAAUGACUGGUCAUUCACCUCUCUCAUUCCAUCCUGGCUCUUCAUUUAGCAGUACUUUGAGAUUUCUAUGGCUAUAACAUCCUUUUCUGAAAAAUUGCAUCAUUGUUCUAAAAUAAUAUUGAAAUUAUUCCUUCAAAUAGGAUUCUGUUCCAAAGUGACAUUUCUAGAUACAGUCUCUAUCUUGUAUGUGUGUUUUCUCAUCUUGGGAUCACAUAUUUUGCAGUAAUAUAAACUAGGAAGUCAUAAUUUUCCAGCAUAUCUUCUGCCAAAUGCAAAAUGACUCCUCUUCCAUAUUUCUUCUAGUUUAAUUUUAGUUUAUUCCAGUCACAGGGCUUCCCAUGGGCAACUAUUCAAGAGUUCACUUAUAGGAACAUUUCUUAAUAAACAAUCUGCAAAGUCUAUCAUGUGAAUAUUUAAAAGUAACUAAAAUAUGCGUAUACAUAGUUUGGGUUUUAUUUGGUUUGUCCAGUAUAGAAAUGUGUUAGAAAUUAUCUACAAGAGUUGGAGUUUUAAUGAAAAUUACUCUGAUUUUUAUGUCAUAAUUACCAGGAACGUCAAUUUUGCUUUUCCUAGCCUUAGCUGGUUUGUUUCUUGGAAGCCUCAAGGAUGUUUAUACUGUGAGCACUGUCAGACUGAAAGUUUUAACUAAGACCACUUUUAUCCCAAUUUUAGAUAUGAAGAAAACAAGGAAGUAACAACCUCAUAAAUUUAACUUGUUUUGAAAAAUCAACUGUUGCCAACUUGCACUUAUGGAUUGCUGCAAUCUCACUGUUCCAUGGCCACACCAGUUAUCACAAAGACAAAAUUAAUUUGAAUUUCUUAUUUAAAAAAUAAACAUUCUCCUGAUUCUAGUUUACUAUCAAAAAUAAGCAGAGAACAGCUCACUUCCCAGUUCACUUAAUAUUUUAGUGACUCCUGAUGCAGACAUCCACCUAAGAAUUCAGCGCCUAUCUGAUUGCACGUUAUGGUAGUUUUUGUUUGGGAUAUGAUGCAGAAUGACUUUAACAAGGGACAGGGCAAGAAAAUUAUGCUUAUGGACCAAACUGAAUUUUCAUGCCUGAGUUUUCUGGAUUAUGUCUGAAGUUCCAGUCAGAGCUUCGUAAUAUUUCUAGUAACUCUGAUUCAGUGCAGCAACGCUUGAAAAUGAACCCCUACCCUCACUGGCCUAACCUUGCCGAUUAUGCAUGUGUUUGCUGUUUUGAUGGCCAGGGCAUUGCAAAUUGCCUCCUCUGGAGUGGCUACACUGUGCUGUUAGGCGCACACUGCAGUGCCGGGGGGACGCUGUAGGAAAUGCAAAUGGAAAAGGUACAGAGUCAAAAGACAGUGGUGAAGUUUGUUUGAUCCAGUCUCUAGGAACUGCACUUCUCUUCGGGGGGCUCCACAGCACACAGAAAGCCACCCUGCCCCAGUGCCAUGAAGUAGCUCUUCCUUAGCAAGCACAUGCUGGAACUAUCAUUUUCUUCUUUUUCUUGCAAAGGCCAGGCUCAGAUCUUUGGCCUUUUCCCUUUCAUAUUUGAGAAACAUCCUGUUUUGCAGUCACACUCAGUAGAGAGCUCCACAGGAAAAACAUGGAUACUGUCCAGAUGGCACAACUCAGGAGCAUCCUGUAUCAUCGCCUGAGCCCACUCAGUCAGAAUGUGUCUAGACAGCACUCUCCCGGCCAACUGGAAGGUCUUUGGUAACAGGGACAGAUUGUUGCUUCUCUCUGCAUGAAUGCCCAGAUGGAAGGAAACUGCAGACGCUGUGCAGCCUGAGAAAAAGAGGGAAAGGGGCUUGGCCCAUCUUCUCUUCUGCACAUCUCCUUUUU